rfam:Oryzias latipes DNA, chromosome19, strain: Hd-rR.
CAAAAAGAUCUUUUAAGAUCUACUCAAAUUAUACAAGUACAAUGUA